ACAAAAAAGUCGGUUGACAGCUAACUAGAUUGAUAUUGGUACCAUUAUCCAUAUGCGAUAUGACAAUUCAAUAUUAGAUAUGUGAGCUUCAACUCCUCAGUCCUGAUGGUCCUGGCGGUGCAAGAGUACUGGUGUGAUUCUGUCCACAAAAAUCUUGAAAACCGUAAAGAUCGAGAAUAACUCGCUGGCCGCUUCCAACUUCAAAAAAUGUAUGAUGUUACCUCAAGGUCACCUACCUCUAUAAUAAUGCACCAAAGUGAGGACAAAUUAGUAUGCUAUGUGUGUGAAACAUACGCGUAGCGACUAGCGACAGAUUACUAGGCAUUGACGCGGGGUUUACGCACUUUUCAACACCUUCGAGCGUGCUUCAAAAACUGGCGGGCUGUUACCAGGGUUGUGAUGUACUUAAAUGAUUUUGUGUUACCAAUUGGCAAUUCCCAUGACGGUAAGCUAUACCUACUGAAAUUAAAGCAACGUGGAAUUUUGAAAGAGAAAAAUUAUUUUUCAUCAAUAUUGGGUAGGUAAUAACAAAUGACUUAGAAUACGCUUUUAAUAUCACUUAAAGUAAAACCAAUUUUUAACAGAUUUUAUAUAAACAAAUGCGGUUAGGUUGCACUGAAGUUAAAUGAAGGUUUAAUUAAGAAAAUGAUUUGUGUUUACCAUUCAGAGUUGGCAUUGUUGUCUGCAAAGUGCAAUAAAAUUAUUCUUUCAAAUUCGCUCUUU